UUUUGACAAAGCCUGGGAUACCCCAUGUGAAACAGUCUACCUCUCAUGGGAACGCUCACUUCUUGUGAGUGACUUCAGCCCUACCUGCAUGACCCUUCCUGGGACCGAGAAGAAUUUUCCAGUUGCUUCUAGAAUGGUGAGUGUCAGCUCUGGCCCUCGAGACUCCAGUCUGUCUCCCAGUCCUGAUUCCUCAGAUCUCCGCUCUUUUGGAAGAAAAAACAGAAAAUUACCAAGGCCCGGUUAUGUGCAGAUUCGUCCCAUCUCUUCUAGCAGCCACAGUGGAAAGGUAGAGGACAUGAUAUACAUAAUUUGCAUUCUCCACAAAGAGGAAUCAUCUGAAGUUUCAAGAGAAAUAUUUCUUGCCAUUAGGAUUUUUAAAAAUUUAUAGAUGAUGUCCUGACCUUU